CGAAGCGUUACAGGCGGGCCUGACUCUUUGCUCGGCCCGUACACCUAAUGUUGGGUGAGCAAAGUUUCAGGUGUGUUUGUGACGUUGUACCU
rnacentral:pre_miRNA from 1 species